UAAGCAUGCUUUCUCCCAUUUUUGUCUGUUCGUUUCAUAAAAAAGAUGGUAUACCAUCCUGGAUUCGCCUGUUUUUUUGAUUUCCUAAAAUGUUCACUGCCCUCAUGCUAUGUCUCUAUUUACUCAACAGAUUAUUUGUUUUUCUAUUCAUGACAGCUGUCUCUAAAGAAAAAUCAAAUUAUUUUACAGAUGUGUCAUAUUGUACUUCUGAAGCAUUACCACUCAGCAACUAGAAUAAUGUGGUUAGAUAGGCUGAAGUGAAUUGAGUGCUUUUUUUUAAGGCCAUUUAGACAUUAAAUGCAUUUAGCUCCCUGCAGAGUUAAGUUUUAGUUAUGUUGUAGACUACAUGAAGACGUACUUGGGAAUGGACAUCUACCCAAUAGCUCAGAUUGCACUCUGCACCAAAGCAGCUUGAGUCUAGACAUGCACAGUAACCCAGUUCCUUCUGGGAGAGACAGUACUCCUGAUAGCCAGUGCUGUACCAGUGCUUUUCACAUGUAUGUUCUGUUUUCAAAAGGAUUUUAAAUCCUCAUUGAACUCUGCUCAGAGAAUCACUUCUGAAAAGAGGGAUUGAAGUUUGCUAGCAAAAAUGUAAGGGUUUGGGGAAAAUAGAUACAUUGUAAUUUAAAAGUAGGUUUGCCUCAGUGCAACAAAAGCACACAGCCUCUGAGCUCACUUGAGGUGAGAGGAGUGGAUAGCUUUAAGUCAAGUCACCAGGUGUUAAGUUUGUACUGUGAAUAGAGGGGAGACUGAGCAUCUAAGCUACAGCAGCCCAUCAAGGGCCAAUCUGGUCACUAUGUGCUGCUAAUCUUAUUCUCUGCAAUUAUUCUUUCCAGCCCCAGUGCUUCAGCUAGCAUAAUUGUGGUUUGUUACCUGCAACUCUUCCUCCCAUUCAAUACUCUCUGAAAAUAUUAAUGUCAAGCCUGAGUUUCAGUUGUGGCCCUAGUCCUGGCCUAGGAGGAGAGGAUGGCCAACACUACAGUCAGAUGCUUGGACUGACAAGGAAUGAAGAUCUUUCCUGAGGAUUUAUACCAUACCAGGUCAUUUCUCAUAUUCAUGGUUAAUCUAGAAUAAAGUCAGAAAACAACUCGACUUUUUCUGACAAACAUCCAACAAAUGUUAUAGUCGUACCAGUUGCAGCUUUCUGGGGCUGGCUAUUCUUGAUACAGCACAGCACAGUCCAGUGGAUAUCAAGCAUCCCAGAUAUCAUGAUCAGAAAAACUCUGAAACACUGAUGAAUGCAUCAGUGAAAGGACCACGUUAUAGUUUAUUGCAAGGCAGGGGUUUUGUUGGGCUUUUGGGGUUUAGACUUGUUUUCGUUUCAAAAAUGACCUAACAGGAAAUAUAAACAGGCUUUUGCAGAACUGCAUGAAAAUUAGUCUUUAUCUUUCAUCAUAUUUGCUAGCAGAUAUGUUUUAUAAUAAACAGUAUAAGUGACACUGGGGAAACAAUACAGAUGAACAUGAACCCAUGAAACAAUGAUGCAAAUUAUUAUAAGGAGCUCUUACUGGAGACUGACUUUAUUCAUUUUGUCUUCUUCUGCACAUAUGUGCACUUUCACUGAGAAAAAGGGCAUUCCAUUCCAAUUUUGCUAUGACAAGUAAACCUUAGUUUAUUUUAGAAACCAUUAGUGUCUUCACUUAAAAAAAAUUCUAUGUUUAAAUUUUGCAUAUUUUUUUUUACAAUGGAAUUCUUACCACUCUGGGCCAGUGGUUUAACAUACAUCCUUCACACAUCCUUAACAAUUUUUGAAAUUCACACAAAUCCUAGAGAAGCUAGACAUCAAUCUUAGCACUACAUGGGAAGUGGGGGAAAAAAAAGAGAAAAACCUGGAGUAAGAGAACAAGUGGAUUGCCAUUGAGUUUCUUGUGAUAAAAUGGUAUUAUUUUUUUCCAGUGUAAAAUGGUAUUUUAUUCCACAUAUGAGUGUGCACAUCUAUGCUAAUGUACAUUAUAUAAAAAGAAAGAUUCAUUUAUUCCUUGUGCACUUCUUCCUGGCAGGCCUGUUUCUACAGAAUAAGCAGACAUGUGUGUAAGGCUGUAUCUUUUAAGCAAGACAAACCUCAGCUGAAGGGUAUUUGACAGAGAUGUCACGGACAUUUGUCAGUUACAUUUCACUUAAAACCAAUCAAUUUCUUUUCCCUUGGUCCCUCUUCACCUGUCAUCUCUAAUCAUCAUCUAUAAUCAUCUAUAAUCAUCUCUUUCACUGACACCACUUCAGCUUGGAUGAUGAUCUAUUUCAGGCAGUUUUUUAAAAA